rnacentral:misc_RNA from 1 species
UACAGAGGGUGCAAGCGUUGUUCGGAAUCACUGGGCGUAAAGCGCGUGUAGGCGGCACGUUAAGUCAGAUGUGAAAGCCCUCGGCUCAACCGAGGAAGUGCACCUGAUACUGGCGUGCUCGAGUGUCGGAGGGGAUGGCGGAAUUCCCGGUGUAGAGGUGAAAUUCGUAGAUAUCGGGAGGAACACCUGUGGCGAAGGCGGCCAUCUGGACGAUUACUGACGCUGAGACGCGAAAGCGUGGGGAGCAAACAGG